GAAGGGGAUUUGCAUGACUAGAUCUUUGAUAUUAUAUGAUAACAUGCUUCCGUUGCUCAUGUAUAUGAAUUUUGAAUUGUAUAUGCAUGCUAGUCAUUUAGAAAUCCCACUAUGAAUCUCAUAGAUUUCCCUUCAAUUGGUAUCAGAGCCAAAGGUUUAUGUAUAAUGUGUCCGUUUGGAUUUUAUGCAUAUGGGUAUUAAUUUUAUGUAUGACAUAUAAUUGUUUCAUUCAAAGUAUGUUUAUCUUUUGUUUUUCAAAAGUUGAAAAAUAUUAAUCAAAAGUUGAGAAAGAUAUGUGUGCAAAAGUUGUUUUGUAUGCAUGAAUGAAAGAUGAGUUUUGACAUAUGAUUUCUUCAUUUAAAAGUAUGUUUAUCUUUUGUUUUUUCAAUGGUUGAAAAAUGUAAUUCAAGAGUUGAAAAAGAUAUGCAUGUAAAAGUUGUUUUGUAUGGAUGAAAUGAAGAAUAAGUCAUGAACAAAUUUUAGGGUUUUGUUCUUUGUGGUUGGCACGUUUUUGGGGAAGUUUUGAGCAUAUGUUUGUGUUUUAUUGUAAGACACUCACACAUCAUUUCAAAGCUAGAAAGUAGAAACCUUGUCACUUUUGUUUUGGGUUGGAAAAUUCAUCAAGAAUACACAAAUCUUGAAAAUAUGUUCAUGGUUUUGUUCUUGGUGUUCAUGGUUUGGUUUUAGGUGAAAGUGCUUUAUUUGGUUUUCAUGCAUAGUUUUAUGGUUUUAGAUGAUGUUCUUACCAUCCAUAACCAUAUUAAAAAUUUAUAAAACCAUAAACUUAUCUAAGAGAUUUCCAUCACCUUUUGAAUUAAAACCAUUUAAACCAAAACCAAGUGACAAGUAAAAUUUUGAUUUUUUCUACUUUGCAUGAUUUAAAGCUAGAUAAGAUGAGACUUUCUAUCUCUCCCCAAUUCAAGGGCCGGCCUCCCCUAGUGGUAUACCCACUUGUGGGGUAUUUUGUAAUUUGGAAAAGAUAUUAUAUACUUUUGAGUAUUUACGGUUUGACCCCUAACUUUUUCAUAUUUGCAUUUUGGCCCUUACUAACUAGAAAGUUAAAAUAUAUGAUUUUAAUUUUGUUAGUUGUUUAAACUCAUAAUUAUAUUAUGCCCAUAUGCACUAAAUCUAAAUGUUUAUGUUGCAUUCCAUUAUGAUUAUUUAAAUGUGUUUAAGUAAUUGAAAAAUGGAUGACUUUGGACUUAUGCCUUAAACGAUAAUUGAGCUAUGAGAUAAGGCGCUAAAUCAAAUUGUUUGAACCUUGGGAAUGUGUUUUAAUUACUGUUUAAUUGGACCUUGUCACGUUUGACGUUAAUCUAUCUCUCCCCUUUUAGUAUAUGUAAUUUAUAGGAAUUUGUACAAAUCGGUUUGUAAUUCUUAUUACUUCUUAAUCUCUAUUCGUUAGUUGAUUCCCUCUAGUGUUAGACUAGAGUUUCUUUAACUAUUGGUAAGGAGACAUAACUAAAAGAGGGUUUUGACAUGAGAUUAAAGAUUAAAAGGGUCCAAUGCCCUAAUUAGCAAUGAAUGAUUGUCUUUCAUUUCUAAUGGCUCAAUGAAAAUGGUUUUAAUUGGAUUGAUAAGCACGUAAUUAAAUUGACACAACCUCCCCGAGUUUAUAUUCAACAAUGAUGGCUCGUUGUUGCAAUAACCUUAUAAGUCCAUGGUCAUCCAAGAGCCUAAGAUAACUAUAAAGUCCAAUUUCAAAGGAAUGCAAAAACCUUAGUAGUAGUAGUUACUUCCAAUAUUUGAAAAAUUCGUUUUUGAUAUUGAUUUGUUUUUCUCAAAACAAAUAGUGGGAGUAUCGUACGCUACUAAACUAUAAUGAAUACAAUUAGUAGUUACAUAUAUCUCCAAUAUUUUGAAAAAUGUUUUGAUAUUGAUUUGUUUUAUGAAAACGAAUAGUGGGGUUAUCAUGUGCUACUAAUUUCAUUAACUUUGGACUAGUAGUUGUAAAUAGGACAUUAUUUAUUUGAUUGUGAUUAAAUAAAUAAAAUUGAUGAGACCUUAAAAUCCCUCAAACCACUCAAAUAUUAAGUUGAAAGUGUAAGAGUGCUUUGAACACUCUUUUGUGGCCUUCCACCGUGGUAGGCUUCAAUCGUUUGUGACUCAUACACCGUAUUCGUCCAGUUCUGGGGUUGCAAAGUAUGUGCUUACAUUCAGGAGAAGCCUAUACACAUAUGAUGAAGUGAAAGGUAGGCAACUAGUGUGGCCAAUAUGGAGUUCUUCUGAGGCCAUUCUGGAACCCCUACUUGAACUAGCAUGGUGG
rnacentral:lncRNA from 1 species